UAUCUCUCCGUACGGGGAAGGAUGAGAAGCUUCGACCAAGGUUCGAUUCGAGCGUCAGCGAGAAAGCGUUGCCGCAGGCAGCGACCCGAAGGGUAAGGAGCGGAGCGACGAAUAAUCCUUCCCCCACCACCA
rnacentral:sRNA from 1 species